rnacentral:rRNA from 1 species
UGAGGAAUAUUGGUCAAUGGGCGCAAGCCUGAACCAGCCAUCCCGCGUGCAGGAAGACGGCCCUAUGGGUUGUAAACUGCUUUUCCAGGGGGAGAAUUUUUCUGUCGUGACAGGAAUUGACGGUACCCUGGGAAUAAGCAUCGGCUAACUCCGUGCCAGCAGCCGCGGUAAUACGGAGGAUGCGAGCGUUAUCCGGAUUUAUUGGGUUUAAAGGGUGCGUAGGCGGAUAGAUAAGUCAGUGGUGAAAACCUGCAGCUUAACUGUAGACUUGCCGUUGAUACUGUCAGUCUUGAGUAUGGUCAAGGUAGGCGGAAUGUGUAAUGUAGCGGUGAAAUGCUUAGAUAUUACACAGAACACCGAUUGCGAAGGCAGCUUACUGGGCCGCAACUGACGCUGAUGCACGAAAGCGUGGGGAGCGAACA